UUCGUUAUGUUGGUGUAUGUCUGAUUUAAUAUUAUUGCUUAAUGGUUAAAGUUUGUGUAUAUUUAUUUAAGUCAAGUCUAUGUGCUGCUUAUAAAAGUAUUCAUGCGUUACUUUAAUAAUAUGUUAGAUGGAAUAUUAAUUGAUUUAGGACUUAAUAGUAAUGUUUAAUUAGUUUGUAAAUGUGAAUAUAGUUUAGCUCAGGUACACACCGCCCGUCACCCUCGGUU
rnacentral:rRNA from 1 species